GCGUCCGGGGGCGGCAACGGUCACCGCCUGGCCGCUCCGUCCGGUCAGGCUGACGGUCACCGGCGCCUGUUCGAGCCGGGCGGAGGCG
rnacentral:tRNA from 1 species